CUUGUAUUAUAAAAGAACUUCUAAAAGUGAGACAAUACAGAGACUAGCAUGACCCUUCUGUAAGGGUGACACAAUUUUGUAAAGCAUUCCACAUUUAA
rnacentral:snRNA from 1 species